rnacentral:rRNA from 1 species
CAGUCGCCGCGGUAAUACGUAGGGUGCAAGCGUUGUCCGGAAUUAUUGGGCGUAAAGAGCGUGUAGGCGGCUCGACAAGUCCGCUGUGAAAGUCCAGGGCUCAACCCUGGAAUGCCGGUGGAUACUGUCGAGCUAGAGUCCGGAAGGGGCGAGUGGAACUCCUGGUGUAGCGGUGAAAUGCGCAGAUAUCAGGAAGAACACCAAUGGCGAAGGCAGCUCGCUGGGACGUGACUGACGCUGAGACGCGAAAGCGUGGGGAGCGAACAGGAUUAGAUACCCCAGUAGUCCCUGUCUCUUAUAC